rnacentral:rRNA from 1 species
UACGGGGGGAGCAAGCGUUGUUCGGAUUUACUGGGCGUAAAGGGCGCGUAGGCGGCGUAACAAGUCACUUGUGAAAUCUCCGGGCUUAACCCGGAGCGGCCAAGUGAUACUGUUGUGCUAGAGUGCGGAAGGGGCUACUGGAAUUCUCGGUGUAGCGGUGAAAUGCGUAGAUAUCGAGAGGAACACCUGCGGCGAAGGCGGGUAGCUGGGCCGACACUGACGCUGAGGCGCGAAGCUAGGGUAGCAAACGGG